GAGCAGCUGGCGACAAGUCAAGAUUGACGAUGUCAAAUUUUUAAUAAGGUUAUUUACUUACCCAUGAGGGCAGAAAAAAAAAUCUCUAAAUAACCAUAGCUGACUGAGCAGAAGCGCUAGUCGAUCAUCAUGGAAAAAUACGUGCCUGUGUGAACUGGAGGUAAAGCGGACAGCGCGCAGACUCAGCCCGCCCACCCCUUCGUAGCGCUUCCACGUGCGAGAUGAACCAGGAGUUACUCCACAUCAACAGCACAUCUCAGAGGAGUCUGGCAAAAUCAUGGAGAAGCAGAUGCCGUUGUGCCUCAUUCAGGGGACAGCCCUUUACCAGCAUUGCCAACUCUAAGGACACGCAAUUACUGGUCAACCUUGAGGAAAAGAGGACCUGACGCCUGCAGCAAUUUAAUGCAAAACUGAGCAUCUGGAUUGUCUUUGGGUUAAAAUUAGACAAAGGAACAAGUAAGGUCAUUUCAAAACAGGAAUCACAGAUUCUGCCUCAACUGUCCAGUGGAGAAUUGUUUACAGUAAAAGUAGGAGACAUGGCAACAGAGCAAAACAGGCAUGACAGAAGCAAAACUGUACUCCUGAGCCGAGGAAAACAAGUUUCUUAUUUUGACUGAGUUCAGCUUUAGCAUAUAAACAAGAGGCAGGAGUCGAUGGCUGCGGGAACACAAGGCUCAGCUGUCAAUAUGUUUGCUGGUCCUCAUCCAAGGAUCAGAGAGGUUCUGUCAGGACUUUGAUUCCCUCACACAGGGGAGUGAAUAACAGCACAGAAGCAACCCUACAACCAGUCAAUCAUUGGACAGUCCAUCUUUAUCACUGUAAUGGCCAGACUGAGGAAACAUUAGAGUUUUUUGCUCAUUGCUUGAAAUUGAUUUUGAUUUCUGACUAAAUAAACUCAAUUUUGCAAAAAUUCUA